GACGUAGGGCGCGAGCGUUGUCCGGAUUUAUUGGGCGUAAAGAGCCCGUAGGCGGCUUGUUACGUCGACUGUGAAAACCCGCGGCUCAACUGCGGGCCUGCAGUCGAUACGGGCAGGCUAGAGUUCGGUAGGGGAGACUGGAAUUCCUGGUGUAGCGGUGAAAUGCGCAGAUAUCAGGAGGAACACCGGUGGCGAAGGCGGGUCUCUGGGCCGAUACUGACGCUGAGGAGCGAAAGCGUGGGGAGCGAACAGG
rnacentral:rRNA from 1 species